UACUAUUAAACUAGCUAGUUUAGGUUUUAGGGGUCAUAGUUGUAUUAUGUCUUGAGAUUUUUUGGUAGUGGCGAAAUGUUUUUGCGGAUUCGACGAUAUCUGGUUGAUUCAAAAAUAAAUUAAGUUUAGGGUUGCGGUGGCAAUACUUAGUGUUUUCUGUGGAGCAGUUGAUGGUUAAAACGACGGUUAGGGUAAGUCUAGUUUGUGCUGAAUAUGUGUUGGUCUCGUUGCGGCCCGCAUAAGAGCGGUUUAAUAGCGCAAUAUCGGUUGCAGAUAAAAAUUAGUUUAAUUAUGGUCUUAGGUUAGAUGAAUCGGAGUGGCUGAAUGGGGGGGCUACUUUCAUUAUGUUUAGAUUAGUAUGUGUAGUGUUUGUAUUCUACUAUUUUGGUAAUUUAUAAUCACUAAAGUGAAACUAGGCUAAGGAACUCGGCAAAAAGUAUUUUUUCCUCCGACUGUUUAAUAAAAACAUAGCCUCUAGAAAGGAGUUGAGGUGUUAUCUGCCCAGUGGGGGACAACCUUUAACGGCGGCCUUAGCGUGAGGGUCUUAAGGUAGCAUGUAGUGUUCUGGAUAAUUGCCAGGUGGAAUGAAAGAGAGAACGAGGGGAGAGCUGUCUCAGUUUAGUUUCGUAGAAUUUGCCUAGGAGGUGAGAAGGCCUUCGUGGGGUAAAUAGACGAGAAGACCCCGUGAAAUUUUAUUCUUUUUUUAUGGUUGGGGACUUAGUUAAAGGAAGAAUUUGGUUGGGGCAACCCAGGAGUAUGCGAUCCUCCUGAAAUUUAUAGUAAACUUUCAAGUAUUGAACCGCUGCGGGCGGUUGAUGGAAGAAAUUACUCUGGGGAUAACAGCGUUAUCUUCCUGGAGAGGGCUUAUCGAAGGGAAGGAUUACGACCUCGAUGUUGAAUGUGGCUAGCCUUACACUUGUAGGCGGUUUAGAGGGUUGGACUGUUCGUCCAUAAAAAAGCCAACCUGAUUUGAGUUAAGAACGGCGCGAGCUAGUUCGGUUUCUAUCUUUUAUUAGUGCUUAAUUCUGUCGGUUAUUGUACGCAAGGACUUAUUCGGCUGGCUUUUUGCUUUAUAUUGGGAAAUGGUGUAAGAGGAAGAGAGUAGUAAGAAGAUGGAAGAGGAAAAGGUGUUGUCUCGAUAUUCAGAAAUAAUUGAUAUUCGUUUUAUAUGCGGAGGGUGAAUGUUUUCUCGUGUUAGAAGGUGGAGAUUAGGUUUAUUACAUUAUUAGGAGGUGGUUCUGGAGGUGUUGUUUUUGGUUGCUUCUUACACUUGUUUGGUAGAAUAAUUGGUA
rnacentral:rRNA from 2 species